CCCUAAGAGUGGAUUAUUAUCAACAUCAAUGUCAGCAAAAUCAAAACUUAUAAUAAUAAUAGUAGUAGUUGUUGUUGUUGUUGUUGCUGUUGUACAAUAGUAGUAUAAAGAACAGAUUUCAGAAAUCAAGUGCAAAAUAAAAAUUAAAAAAUCAACGAUGAAACAACGGCUGUGAGGGACUACGAAUACGAGAGAGGAAGAACAGAACAGCAAGUAAAUGUGGAAAGUAAUGAAACAAAAUUCGUAAGUGGCAACAGAGAGAGAGAGAGAGAGAGAGAGAGAGAGAGAGAGAGAGAGAGGAUGACUGAUAUGAUAGACUUUCUGACUUAGCUAUUAUCCACGUUCAUAGAGAUUUAGAAAUAAAUGCAGAUGAUGUGAUUGAUAAGUUUGUUUUAGAAGGCAAACAUAAACUGGAACUUGUUCUUUAACUUUGCUUUUUUAUAGUAUGUUAGCAUGACAAAUGCUUUACCCAGUUUACCGUUUAUGAAACAAGUAACUUAAAUAGGUUACCACUUACCUGUGGCAAAUAUAUAUUUUUCUUUUUACUUUACUGGUGAUUAUGUACAUUGCUUUAUUUGCUUAAUUACCAGUAUGCAACUAAUGCAAGUAUAGCAGAUCAUUUAAUAUCUGUGGUAAAGAAUGGCAUUUCAGUGUUGAUCAAUAUUUAUUCUCUAACUAUUGAAACUGGAAUGUAUUUUAUACUAUAUCCCAAUUUCAGUCAAUCAGUAGAGAUCUGUAACUGGUUUCCAUCUAGCAAUAAUUUUGGUUACGGGUUUUUCAUAUUAACCAUCAUAAAAGUACCAGAACUUGCUCCAAAACGCUUGUGAAAUGUUAUACAGCGUUUUGUUCCGGUUGCUCUGCCCCGGACCCCUCUGAAGAGCUACCGUUCACCCUAGACCCUGUAGCAUUGUCUCGAGCCUGCGGCGCUCGCCGGCCCUUACUUUAAGAAACAGCCCCUCCCUUUCCUAAAUCCUGGAUCCGCCACUGACCAUAUCCCAACAAAUGGUCAAGGAUAAUUGAUAAUCAAUGGUGUUUGGUGUUCAAUGUUCGCCACCUGUUCAUAUACAGGACAAAGUCAGUGCCACAUAACUUCACCCACCGGCCGACUAUCUAUGUUGCUGCUACGGCUCAUGGGGUAUCUUUGACAGUGGCUUGCAUGUAGGCUGAACUCUUAUGCAUUCUAAUAUAAAAUAAAAAAAACCUCAGACUUUACUGAAUGAUUUCAUACGUAAAAACACCUGAGACGAGAGAAAGCUAUAAAUCUGAAUUCUGAUUUCUACUGCGGUGUGAAUCACUAUACUCGGUUUUUUUCCAUCUGCCACCCGCCUGUGGUGUUUGGGUAUGGUAACACUGCGUCCCGGGCUUUAGAUAGUUACAUUCAGCUUACAUGCAACAAUAAUAACAAUAUCCUAUUUCGAAUAUUAAUGGUGUAAUUCGCAUGCAGUAAAUUAUUAAAACACUUUUCAGUUGCAAAUGAACACCCAGAUAUCCAUUUAUUUACCUAAAACUUACACAUAGCGUAACUAUCUGAAACGCGGGACGCAGUGUUACCAUACGCAAACACCACAGGCGGGUGGACAGAUGGAAAAAAACAGAGUAUAAUAGAAAUGUUUCGGCCUCUUUGGACUGCGGCCAUUUACCGCCAAUUUCAGCCGAUGUGUGGUUGUAAAUAUACAUUUACAUUCGCUAUGAAUGAUGCUUAAUUAGUGGGCAGUUUCUAGCACACAAAAAUUGCCCUAUGAAACCAACAUUUAAAUUAAGUGAACAUACAUCGAUGACAACUUCAGUCUUCAAAUUUUCUGGGUGAGCCAACUCAAAUUCUGUUUCCUUUUUUCGUCGUGACGAGAAAAAUAAUUUAAAGGCAAUUCACGGGUCCUAGAAGUAAUUUACAAAUGAAUCACCAAUAUGAAUAAUUUCCUUUUUGAAUUUUGAUUUGGAUAAAUAAAUACUCCACAAGUAUCCUAAUAUCUUAUUGGUAACGGGAAGAAGAAGAAUGCGCAGUCUUUGUAUAUCUGUGUAGUAACGAGUUGUGUUGCUUGAUAUCUCGUCUUUUCUAAUCUAAGACUAAAUCGUUGUGAAAUUUAGCGAAAUAAAUAAGUGAUGGUAUUGAAUGAUAGAUACCUUCAAUUGGAAGUAAAAAUACGUAGCUUGCAUGCUGCUGGAACGAAGUGAUUGUGGAUGAAAUUAACUGAUAUUACAUGUUUCGCUGAAGUUACAAAUGGUGUUACUUGACCCUAUCUCGGGAUUGGAUCCUUGCAACAGAAUAAACGGAGGAGGAAGCAUCAAAAUUUGACGAUGAUGAUAAAGAAAGAAAGUAACAAUAAUUAUAGUAAUUUGAUAAAUUAUGAUUUCAAGUGGUGGUAGCACGCAGGGUAGGCUAUGCUCACGUUUGAUGAUCUAGGCUAGCCGCGGAAUUUAAAAACAUAGGCUAGCUUAUUCCCGUGCUGAUGCUAUUCAACUGAAUUUUAUGCUCAUUAGUGAACUGCAUUUACGCCAGUAACUGCAUGCAGGGAUACACAAUGUAUAAGUGCAAUAGUAAAGAUUACCAACCCCUUCAUCUAAGAUCAGCUGACCAACACCUUACAUUGCAUUUUUGGCGCUUCAUCGUAACGACAACUGAAGUAUGCACAGCACCGAAUGACCUCGCAGGUUCCAUCUCUUGACCUUUGGCCUGAAUUUUAAAUACCAUCCCGUUUGUAUCUGGAAGACCCCAAAAACAUGGCAAGCAUUUGGAGCCUCGAGCAACGGCCCGAGUUGCUGGUUCCUUCAGCCAGUCCUCUCUUCAGUUUGCAAGUCAGUGCUUUCCUGCAGUCAGAGAGUAACUGCUUUCUCUUCCCAAAUUGGAAGAGCGCAUUCCAAGGCUCAUCGCUGAGGUGCUGACUAUGCAGCACAAAAGGAACAGCCAAGUAGCCCCUACCUGUGACAGCCGUAACGAUAAUAGCUAUGACAGUGCAUAUGAGCGUCCCCCACACCGAGUUCAGACAGUAGGAGAGGGCGUACAAACCGCGACCGGAGUCCCUGAA